rnacentral:rRNA from 1 species
CACUAUCGUUAACUGAAUACAUAGGUUAACGAGGCGAACCGGGGGAACUGAAACAUCUAAGUACCCCGAGGAAAAGAAAUCAACCGAGAUUCCCCCAGUAGCGGCGAGCGAACGGGGAGCAGCCCGGAGUCUGAAUCAGCUUGUGUGUUAGUGGAACGGUCUGGAAAGUCCGACGGUACAGGGUGAUAGUCCCGUACACGAAAGCACACUUGCUGUGAACUCGAAGAGUAGGGCGGGACACGUGGUAUCCUGUCUGAAUAUGGGGGGACCAUCCUCCAAGGCUAAAUACUCCUGACUGACCGAUAGUGAACCAGUACCGUGAGGGAAAGGCGAAAAGAACCCCGGCGAGGGGAGUGAAAAAGAACCUGAAACCGUGUACGUACAAGCAGUGGGAGCACCUUCGUGGUGUGACUGCGUACCUUUUGUAUAAUGGGUCAGCGACUUAUAUUCUGUAGCAAGGUUAACCGUAUAGGGGAGCCGAAGGGAAACCGAGUCUUAACUGGGCGUUAAGUUGCAGGGUAUAGACCCGAAACCCGGUGAUCUAGCCAUGGGCAGGUUGAAGGUUGGGUAACACUAACUGGAGGACCGAACCGACUAAUGUUGAAAAAUUAGCGGAUGACCUGUGGCUGGGGGUGAAAGGCCAAUCAAACCGGGAGAUAGCUGGUUCUCCCCGAAAGCUAUUUAGGUAGCGCCUCGUGAACUCAUCUUCGGGGGUAGAGCACUGUUUCGGCUAGGGGGCCAUCCCGGCUUACCAACCCGAUGCAAACUACGAAUACCGAAGAAUGUUAUCACGGGAGACACACGGCGGGUGCUAACGUCCGUCGUGAAGAGGGAAACAACCCAGACCGCCAGCUAAGGUCCCAAAGUCAUGGUUAAGUGGGAAACGAUGUGGGAAGGCACAGACAGCCAGGAUGUUGGCUUAGAAGCAGCCAUCAUUUAAAGAAAGCGUAAUAGCUCACUGGUCGAGUCGGCCUGCGCGGAAGAUGUAACGGGGCUAAACCAUGCACCGAAGCUGCGGCAGCGACACUAUGUGUUGUUGGGUAGGGGAGCGUUCUGUAAGCCGUUGAAGGUGUGCUGUGAGGCAUGCUGGAGGUAUCAGAAGUGCGAAUGCUGACAUAAGUAACGAUAAAGCGGGUGAAAAGCCCGCUCGCCGGAAGACCAAGGGUUCCUGUCCAACGUUAAUCGGGGCAGGGUGAGUCGACCCCUAAGGCGAGGCCGAAAGGCGUAGUCGAUGGGAAACAGGUUAAUAUUCCUGUACUUGGUGUUACUGCGAAGGGGGGACGGAGAAGGCUAUGUCAGCCGGGCGACGGUUGUCCCGGUUUAAGCAUGUAGGCGGAGGUUCCAGGUAAAUCCGGUACCUUAUUAACGCUGAGGUGUGAUGACGAGGCACUACGGUGCUGAAGUGAUAAAUGCCCUGCUUCCAGGAAAAGCCUCUAAGCAUCAGGUAACACGAAAUCGUACCCCAAACCGACACAGGUGGUCAGGUAGAGAAUACCAAGGCGCUUGAGAGAACUCGGGUGAAGGAACUAGGCAAAAUGGUGCCGUAACUUCGGGAGAAGGCACGCUGAUGUGUAGGUGAAGCCCCUGCGGGCGGAGCUGAAAUCAGUCGAAGAUACCAGCUGGCUGCAACUGUUUAUUAAAAACACAGCACUGUGCAAACACGAAAGUGGACGUAUACGGUGUGACGCCUGCCCGGUGCCGGAAGGUUAAUUGAUGGGGUUAGCUGUAAGGCGAAGCUCUUGAUCGAAGCCCCGGUAAACGGCGGCCGUAACUAUAACGGUCCUAAGGUAGCGAAAUUCCUUGUCGGGUAAGUUCCGACCUGCACGAAUGGCGUAAUGAUGGCCAGGCUGUCUCCACCCGAGACUCAGUGAAAUUGAACUCGCUGUGAAGAUGCAGUGUACCCGCGGCAAGACGGAAAGACCCCGUGAACCUUUACUAUAGCUUGACACUGAACACUGGUCCUUGAUGUGUAGGAUAGGUGGGAGGCUUUGAAGCGUGGACGCCAGUCUGCGUGGAGCCGCCCUUGAAAUACCACCCUUUAAUGGCUGGUGUUCUAACGUAGACCCGUAAUCCGGGUUGCGGACAGUGUCUGGUGGGUAGUUUGACUGGGGCGGUCUCCUCCCAAAGAGUAACGGAGGAGCACGAAGGUUGGCUAAUCCUGGUCGGACAUCAGGAGGUUAGUGCAAUGGCAUAAGCCAGCUUGACUGCGAGCGUGACGGCGCGAGCAGGUGCGAAAGCAGGUCAUAGUGAUCCGGUGGUUCUGAAUGGAAGGGCCAUCGCUCAACGGAUAAAAGGUACUCCGGGGAUAACAGGCUGAUACCGCCCAAGAGUUCAUAUCGACGGCGGUGUUUGGCACCUCGAUGUCGGCUCAUCACAUCCUGGGGCUGAAGUAGGUCCCAAGGGUAUGGCUGUUCGCCAUUUAAAGUGGUACGCGAGCUGGGUUUAGAACGUCGUGAGACAGUUCGGUCCCUAUCUGCCGUGGGCGCUGGAGAAUUGAGGGGGGCUGCUCCUAGUACGAGAGGACCGGAGUGGACGCAUCACUGGUGUUCGGGUUGUCAUGCCAAUGGCACUGCCCGGUAGCUAAAUGCGGAAGAGAUAAGUGCUGAAAGCAUCUAAGCACGAAACUUGCCCCGAGAUGAGUUCUCCCUGAGACUUUAAGUCUCCUGAAGGAACGUUAAAGACGAUGACGUUGAUAGGUCGGGUGUGUAAGCGCAGCGAUGCGUUGAGCUAACCGAUACUAAUGAACCGUGAGGCUUAACCUU